UCAGACGAUGCGUCAUGCAUAUCAAUAAGCGGAGGAAAAGAAACUAACAAGGAUUCCCCUAGUAACGGCGAGUGAAGCGGGAAGAGCUCAAAUUUGAAAUCUUAAAGGGUUUCCCUUUACGAAUUGUAGUUUAAAGAAGUGUUUUCUGUUGAGGUUUUGGUAAAAGUUCUUUGGAAUAGGACAUCAUAGAGGGUGAGAAUCCCGUAUUUGACCUUUACUUUCAACUUUGUGAUACACUUUCAAAGAGUCGGAUUGUUUGGGAAUGCAGUCCAAAAUGGGUGGUAAAUUUCAUCUAAAGCUAAAUAUUGGCGAGAGACCGAUAGCGAACAAGUACCGUGAGGGAAAGAUGAAAAGAACUUUGAAAAGAGAGUUAAACAGUACGUGAAAUUGUCAAAAGGGAAGCGUUUGACACCAGUGUUGUUUUUCCUGAAAAUCAAUUAAAGAACUGUUUAUGCUAAGUUGUUUAGACUUUAUCAGCUAACUGCUUAGUUUUGAGCUUUUCUUUAAUGCACUUUUCAGUUAACAAGUCAAGCAUCAAUUUCUUUUGCUGUAAAAAAGCUUGAGGAAGGUGGCUUGAGAUUCGUCUUAAGUGUUUAUAGCCUCUUGCCUAUGCAGUCGGAGAGAUUGAGGUCUGCAGCGUAGAUCCUUCGGGGCUAAAUGCAUUUGUGCUAAGUUAUAGCAUUUUAUAGACAACUUGUUGACUAUGAUUUCGUCUUGUAGCUUACUCGCUUAUGUUAUUUUACCUACGCUUAGGAUGUUGAGCGCAUGUCUCUCUCU
rnacentral:rRNA from 1 species